rnacentral:sRNA from 1 species
GCCAGGCGCAGUGGUGCACGGCUGUAAUCCCAGCUUCUGAGGAGGCUGAGGCAGGAGGAUCACGAGUUCAAAGCCAGCCUCUGUAAUGGCCAGGCGCUAAGCAAUUCAGUGAGACCCUAUCUCUA